rnacentral:rRNA from 1 species
CACGGAGGCCUCAAGCGUUGUUCGGAAUUACUGGGCGUAAAGGGUGCGUAGGCGGCGAGGUAAGUCAGAUGUGAAAGCCCGGGGCUCAACCCCGGAAUUGCAUCCGAUACUGCCUUGCUUGAGGAUUGGAGAGGAGACUGGAAUUCACGGUGUAGCAGUGAAAUGCGUGGAUAUCGUGAGGAAGGCCAAUGGCGAAGGCAGGUCUCUGGACAAUUCCUGACGCUGAUGCACGAAGGCCAGGGGAGCAAAAAGG